AUUGAACGCUGGCGGCAUGCCUUACACAUGCAAGUCGAACGGCAGCACGGGAGCAAUCCUGGUUUCGAGUUGCCAACGGGUGAGUAAUACAUCGGAACGUGCCCAGCAGCUGUGGCUAGCCCGGCUACAGCCGGACUAAUACCGUAUCCGACCUACGGGUGAACGGGGGGGAUCACAAGACCUCGCGCUCUUGGACCUGCCGAUGUCAGAUUAGCUAGUUGGUGGGGUAAAGGCCUACCAAGGCGACGAUCCGUAGCUGGUCUGAGAGGGCGACCAGCCACACUGGAACUGAGACACGGCCCAGACUCCUACGGGAGGCAGCAGUGGGGAAUUUUGGACAAUGGGCGCAAGCCUGAUCCAGCCAUGCCGCGUGCGGGAAGAAGGCCUUCGGGUUGUAAACCGCUUUUGUCAGGGAAGAAACGCUGCGGGCUAAUACCACGGAGUAAUGACGGUACCUGAAGAAUAAGCACCGGCUAACUACGUG
rnacentral:rRNA from 1 species